AGUGACACUGUGGCAUCAGUGCAGGCUUGCCUGCCGACGCUUGUGCAGCUAGCGGCCGCAUUCAUGGUUCCUUGAACACGACGCUUUAUAGUUUCAACUGACAAUUCACGUGGAGUAUCCACGUGACCUCAGGGGCGGUGUCUGUUAGUAUAUAUACACCCGAACCAGAGGCUCCAGGUCAGCAUCGGUCUCUUCGUCUCAGACAAGUAACACCCAACAAGAAGAAGAGAAAUAUGCGUUUCAUCGCCUACAUCGCUGUCCUCGUACUGACGGCUGCUGUUGCCCUCGCCGGCUACCAUGGUCACGGCUACGGUGGCUACGGCGGUCACGGUGGCUAUGGAGGCCACGGAGGAGGCUACGGAGGUCACGGAGGUGGCUACGGAGGCUACGGAGGUCACGGAGGUCACGGGGGAGGAUACGGAGGCUACGGAGGUCACGGAGGAUACGGCUACGGAAGGCGAUGACCAACGCCCACAAAAGCGCAUUUCCUAGACCGGGCGCAAUGAGUGCAAUGUUACAAUAAACCAUGACCUGCACAGCAGGUGAUGAU